rnacentral:lncRNA from 1 species
CGAAAGGGUUUGGCAAAGUUCCACAGAGUUUGCAGAAACUUACAGGUCUUGAUGGACCUUCCUCAACUAAUGUUUGUUGUUCUGUCUUCUGCACUUUCUUAUCGGGAACAAUCGCUUUCCCUUCUCUGCGUCUUGAUGCCAGGAUUUCAGAGAGUAAUAUAUCUGUUGUUUCUUCAUCUUCAGGUGUGUUGUGAUGAGAUGAAACUGAAGCAGAUUUCACUGGUUUUUCUUCAGAUAUGAUCGAUUUCUCAUCUUCGGUUUUGAUAACCACCAGGGGCUUUUGUUGUUCUGAGGUGGUGAACACAUCAGCAGAUCCAAGUAGAUUCACUGUGUUAGCCGGAGGGAAGCUACUGGGAUUUUCACUCAAAACCUU